GAUGAACGCUGGCGGCGUGCCUAAUACAUGCAAGUCGAGCGAACAGACGAGGAGCUUGCUCCUCUGACGUUAGCGGCGGACGGGUGAGUAACACGUGGAUAACCUACCUAUAAGACUGGGAUAACUUCGGGAAACCGGAUCUUAUACCGUAUAAUAUAUUGAACCGCAGGGUUCAAUAGUGAAAGACGGUUUUGCUGUCUCUUAUAGAUGCAUCCGCGCGGCAUUAGCUAGUUGGUAAGGUAACGGGUUACCAAGGCGACGAUGCGUAGCCGACCGGACGGGGUGAUCGGCCACACUGGAGCUGAGACACGGUCCAGACUCCUAAGGGAGGCAGCAGUAGGGAAUCUUACGCAGUGGGGGAAAGCCUGACGGAGCAACGCCGAGUGAGAGACGAAGGUCUUCGGAUCGUAAAACACUGUUAUGAGGGAAAAACAAAUGUGUAAGCAAAUAUGGACGUCUUGACGGUACCUAGUCAGAAAGCAACGGCUAACUACGUG
rnacentral:rRNA from 1 species